rnacentral:rRNA from 1 species
GACGAACGCUGGCGGCGUGCCUAAUACAUGCAAGUUGAGCGAUGAAGCUUGGUGCUUGCACCAAUUUGAAGAGCAGCGAACGGGUGAGUAACGCGUGGGGAAUCUGCCUUUGAGCGGGGGACAACAUUUGGAAACGAAUGCUAAUACCGCAUAACAACUUUAAACAUAAGUUUUAAGUUUGAAAGAUGCAAUUGCAUCACUCAAAGAUGAUCCCGCGUUGUAUUAGCUAGUUGGUGAGGUAAAGGCUCACCAAGGCGAUGAUACAUAGCCGACCUGAGAGGGUGAUCGGCCACAUUGGGACUGAGACACGGCCCAAACUCCUACGGGAGGCAGCAGUAGGGAAUCUUCGGCAAGAGACGAAAGUCUGACCGAGCAACGCCGCGUGAGUGAAGAAGGUUUUCGGAUCGUAAAACUCGGUUGGUAGAGAAGAACGUUGGUGAGAGCGGAAAGCUCAUCAAGUGACGGUAACUACCCAGAAAGGGACGGCUAACUACGUG